rnacentral:rRNA from 1 species
GAUGAACGCUGGCGGCGUGCCUAAUACAUGCAAGUCGAGCGAACGGACGAGAAGCUUGCUUCUCUGAUGUUAGCGGCGGACGGGUGAGUAACACGUGGAUAACCUACCUAUAAGACUGGGAUAACUUCGGGAAACCGGAGCUAAUACCGGAUAAUAUUUUGAACCGCAUGGUUCAAAAGUGAAAGACGGUCUUGCUGUCACUUAUAGAUGGAUCCGCGCUGCAUUAGCUAGUUGGUAAGGUAACGGCUUACCAAGGCAACGAUACAUAGCCGACCUGAGAGGGUGAUCGGCCACACUGGAACUGAGACACGGUCCAGACUCCUACGGGAGGCAGCAGUAGGGAAUCUUCCGCAAUGGGCGAAAGCCUGACGGAGCAACGCCGCGUGAGUGAUGAAGGUCUUCGGAUCGUAAAACUCUGUUAUUAGGGAAGAACAUAUGUGUAAGUAACUGUGCACAUCUUGACGGUACCUAAUCAGAAAGCCACGGCUAACUACGUGCCAGCAGCCGCGGUAAUACGUAGGUGGCAAGCGUUAUCCGGAAUUAUUGGGCGUAAAGCGCGCGUAGGCGGUUUUUUAAGUCUGAUGUGAAAGCCCACGGCUCAACCGUGGAGGGUCAUUGGAAACUGGAAAACUUGAGUGCAGAAGAGGAAAGUGGAAUUCCAUGUGUAGCGGUGAAAUGCGCAGAGAUAUGGAGGAACACCAGUGGCGAAGGCGACUUUCUGGUCUGUAACUGACGCUGAUGUGCGAAAGCGUGGGGAUCAAACAGGAUUAGAUACCCUGGUAGUCCACGCCGUAAACGAUGAGUGCUAAGUGUGGGGGGGUUUCCGCCCCUUAGUGCUGCAGCUAACGCAUUAAGCACUCCGCCUGGGGAGUACGACCGCAAGGUUGAAACUCAAAGGAAUUGACGGGGACCCGCACAAGCGGUGGAGCGUGUGGUUUAAUUCGAAGCAACGCGAAGAACCUUACCAAAUCUUGACAUCCUUUGACAACUCUAGAGAUAGAGCUUUCCCCUUCGGGGGACAAAGUGACAGGUGGUGCAUGGUUGUCGUCAGCUCGUGUCGUGAGAUGUUGGGUUAAGUCCCGCAACGAGCGCAACCCUUAAGCUUAGUUGCCAUCAUUAAGUUGGGCACUCUAAGUUGACUGCCGGUGACAAACCGGAGGAAGGUGGGGAUGACGUCAAAUCAUCAUGCCCCUUAUGAUUUGGGCUACACACGUGCUACAAUGGACAAUACAAAGGGCAGCGAAACCGCGAGGUCAAGCAAAUCCCAUAAAGUUGUUCUCAGUUCGGAUUGUAGUCUGCAACUCGACUACAUGAAGCUGGAAUCGCUAGUAAUCGUAGAUCAGCAUGCUACGGUGAAUACGUUCCCGGGUCU